rnacentral:rRNA from 1 species
AUGGUUUGUUCCAUAGGUGAACCAGAUGAGCCUAACACCCUUGAAGCAGCAUUGUGUGAUGAAAAGUGGAAGAAAGCUAUGCAUGAAGAAUACAUGGCAUUGACGAGAAACAAAACAUGGCACUUGGUUCCCCCACAGCAAGGUAAAAAUUUGAUUGAUUGCAAGUGGGUUUUCAAGAUCAAGAGGAAAGCUGAUGGAACCAUUGAUCGUUAUAAGGCUAGAUUGGUUGCAAAAGUCUUCAAACAGAGGUAUGUCAUAGACUACAAGGACACCUUCAGUCCAGUAGUAAAGGCGGCCACUAUUCACCUUGUCUUAUCUAUUGCU